AUCUAUGGCCAUGCCAGCCCAAUGUCUGAUCUCGGAAGCUAAGCGGGGUCAGAUCUAGUUAGUAUUUGCACGGGAGACCACCUAGCAAGACUAGGUGCUGUAGGCA
rnacentral:rRNA from 1 species